UUUCAAACAAAGAGACGUAAAAUACUUUCUUGUGACCUUCUGCAAAACGGUAAAGCACAUCCCCUCAACAUGAAAGCCUGUGUAAUCUUUAGCUACUAAUUUGAAGGUCUUCAUCUUUUUCACACCUCCCAAAUUUUGUAUAAAACCCCUGAGCAUAAGUUUCAGUCGCAUAAUUUGUUUUCUGCAAGUUACCUACGCAACAACCACGAUGUUCAAACUUUUUGUUUUCUUGGCCGCUCUUUUGGCUUUCGCCUUGGCCGCUCCAAAACCUGCGCCUCAGUAUUUGGGUCUUUACGGAGCCGGAUUAGGAUAUGGCUAUGGCGGCUAUGGCGGCUACUACGGCGGAUAUGCCCCCUACGUCGGCAGCUACAUUCUAUAAGACCUUUGACUGAAUAAAUACAUUAGUAAAUUAAA